CCUACGGGUGGCAGCAGUGAGGAAUAUUGGUCAAUGGGCUUACGCCUGAACCAGCCAAGUCGCGUGCGGGAUGACUGCCCUACGGGUUGUAAACCUCUUUUGUCCGGGAGCAAUAGGCGCUACGUGUAGCGUUAUCUAGAUUACCUGCAGAAAAAGCAUCGGCUAACUCCGUGCCAUCAACCGCGGUAAUACGGAGGAUGCGAGCGUUAUCCGGUUUUUUUGGGUUUAAAGGGUCGGUAGGCGGACUUCCACGUCAGCGGUAAACUCGCGGGGCUAAACCGCGCACCGCAGUUGAAACUGGAGUUCUUGAGUGGGCAAGAGGCAUGCGGAAUGCGUGGUGUAGCGGUGAAAUGCAUAGAUAUCACGAAGAACUCCGAUUGCGAAGGCAGCAUGCCGGGGCCCAACUGACGCUGAAGCACGAAAGCGUGGGUAUCGAACAGGAUUAGAUACACCUGUAGUC
rnacentral:rRNA from 1 species